AGGACAAGUUAAAUUUCCUAAGUGGUUGUCCGUGAACAAGUAUAGUUUUUGGCCUGGGGCGAAGCCCCUAGGCCAUAGUACUGAUACCGAUUUCUGAGACGAGCUGACUUGGCUGGCUGCCCAAACCAAAUUUGUAUAACUCCGAUUUACCACUUAUUAUAAGAGCGUGCGCAAUAAAAUUAGUUCUUUGCAGAUCUCAAUAACCCGGCUUGUAAAUACAGAACAUCACUAUAUAACAUGACAGUGUCAUACAAAGUGUUAAAAAAUAUUAUUGAAUCAAAAUUGUUAAGCAUUGGCUACGACAUAGUUUUUAUUGUUUACAUAUUCAUGCGAGAAUAAGUUCCUCACUGUACGGUCUCUAACUACCGUUUCGCGGAGUUUGUCAAAACAAAAGCAACUUGUUUGCCAUUAAUAAUAGUUUUACUUUGAACUUUAAUACAUGUAAAAAAAUAUUAUUGAAUCAAAAUUGUUAAGCAUUGGCUACGACAUAGUUUUUAUUGUUUACAUAUUCAUUCGAGAAUUAGUUGCUCACUUGACGGUCUAUAACUACCGUUUCGCGGACUUUGUCAAAACAAUAACAACUUGUUUGCCAUUAACUUUGAACUAUAAUCUAAACCAAUAAAAAUAAGUCAGUGGAACUUUAAUUUUCCGUAUUAUCUCUUGAUUUUUACAUGGUUUAAAUUAACCUCAGCUUUAAUAACAAUGAAUACAGUAGGGCACAGUCGACAGUGACAAUUUUCGGAUAAACUUCCUGGUUUUUGUCAAAGGGGCAGAACCUACUACCUGGUAGUUUCAAUGAUGAGCUAUCAUGAUAUAGGGCUAAAAGAUGGAUGUGCCAAAUCCACCUCAUGAAAAACAGAUUGGGCAAAAGUGGAGUGCGAACACUAAAUGAUGUGCUGCUAAAUAGCAGAUUUUUACAAGUGAAUUUGGCAAAUCCUGAUGCAACCUGAGCUUACCAAGUUUACUGACAGUUUGGACUCUUGUGUGGAUGAUAAUAUGGACAAUAUAUUGUGUUCAUUUUGUGUUGUGAUUGACAUUUUUUAACAGAUAAGAUUUUUUAAUCCAGACUUAACAGGUGAUUUUUUCUUCAAAGAAUAAAUACAAUACUUUUUUAUUGAUGUGCAUGAAUUUGAAUACAAAAUAUCAACAGUG